rnacentral:tRNA from 1 species
GUCCGGAUGGCCGAGCGGUCCAAGGCACUGCGUUUAGGUUGUAUUCUUGUAAGAGGUGUGGGUUCAAAUUCUACUUCUGACA